rnacentral:lncRNA from 1 species
ACCAUUGUAGAGAAGGCGACUUGUGAGCCCCAGCCCCAUCUCCAUGUUGUUAGGGCAAAAACCUGGCAAGAAUAAAUAAAAAGAAGAAUAAGGUAAGAGCUUACCGAUACUCAAGUCACUCCGAAGCUUGAGCUAGAACAUUAACAAUCUUUGCGCAAUUAUCACCGGGUCCUAGGCUAGGGUUUCAAAAUUUCAGGUCCACAGCCAGGACUCAUCUUUUCAUCUUCCUCAUCCUAUCUUCUUCGGCGAGUGAAGUCGCCCCGAUUCUCUCUGUACGGGACCGCAUUCUCUUCCUUCCUCUUGACGGUAUGUCUACUUCAUUUCUUCUUCAAGUGAAAAUAUCGUCUCCUAUGCAGAGUACGUUGUCUCUGCUUCUACAUUUCAUAUAUGUUAUUUCUCUUCGCUUGGUGUCUGCCUUUUCAAGUUCUGUUUCUCUUGUAUUUACUGCUACAAUCUCUUCUACGGCUGUGUAUUUCAUGUCUUUCUUUGUAUGCAGUUGCAUUCUUUUCGUGGAAUUCUCAACGGGGCUGUCUAAGUUUGUUGCUAGAAUUCAUAGAGGGAUUCCUUUUAUUUCUGUUAUGUGUGGAUAUGGUUUAGGGUAAUGUAGUUUGUAAGUAUGAUUAGUAGGUUCUAUUAAUGAUCACUUACUCGCUACUUAGAGAUACCUCUAAAAUCCCUAACGCAUCAAAACCAUUAACUCUAUUUUACCCUAUAUAACAGUUUGUUUAUAUUAGACUCAAUAUGUAUUUAUACUGCUUAUAUCUGCUAAAAUUCUGGCACAGGGCUUGUUUCUAGUCUAUCCAUGUAUUUAUCGUUUUUAUAGCUUGGAGAUGUGCUGUGUUUUCCAGAUUCUGACGGAUGCCAUGUAAAUUGUAAAUCUUGAAUAUUUUGCUCUCUCUAAGAAUGAAAUUCAUGCUAUACCAAUAAAAAGAAAAGAUUUUUAAUAUCUAGUAAGUUAUCAGAACAUUCUUCUCUGUUUUUAACUCGCGGAUUAAUAUGGCUGUGUAAUGAACAUAGCCACAAGUUUGCCAUAUUUCAUUAUGUUUGGGAUAAUUAGCACGGUUAAUUAGGCAAAAUUUAUAAGAAAUCCAGUUUACCCUAUUAUUGAAAACCCAACUAAACAGUGUUGCAAAAUUUCCAGGAUUCUUUGCCCUGGAGAGAAUUCAAAAACCACUGUAUAUACACACAGUUGCACCAAAACCCCAUUUGGUGUUCGUC